rnacentral:pre_miRNA from 1 species
GGUUUCAACUGAAAAAGUCAUCAACAAUAAAGUUGUAUAACUCAUCAAGAUUUAUAACUUCUAUUUUGAUCAUUUCUUCAUCCGACAAAGCGAUAAUAACAUUAUCAUAAAAUUUACAUAUCUCUCUUAUAGUUUAUAAAACUAUAUAAGAGAUAUGUACAUUUUGUGAACAAUGUUAUAAAUCAUUUUGUCGGAUGAAGAAAUGACCCAAAUAAAAGUUAUAGAUUUUGAUGAGUUAUACCACUUUGUUAUUGAUGACUUUUUUAGUUGAAUUC